UACGUAGGGUGCAAGCGUUGUCCGGAUUUAUUGGGUUUAAAGGGUGCGUAGGCGGCUCAUUAAGUUAGUGGUGAAAUCGUCCCGCUCAACGGGAUACCCGCCAUUGAUACUGAUAAGCUUGAGUGCAUUCAAGGAAGCUGGAACGUGUAGUGUAGCGGUGAAAUGCAUAGAUAUUACGCAGAACACCGAUUGCGAAGGCAGGCUUCUGGGAUGUAACUGACGCUGAGGCACGAAAGCGUGGGGAUCGAACAGG
rnacentral:rRNA from 1 species